rnacentral:rRNA from 1 species
UAGCGGCGGACGGGUGAGUAACACGUGGGUAACCUGCCUCAAAGUGGGGGAUAGCCUUCCGAAAGGAAGAUUAAUACCGCAUAACAUAAGAGAAUCGCAUGAUUUUCUUAUCAAAGAUUUAUUGCUUUGAGAUGGACCCGCGGCGCAUUAGCUAGUUGGUAAGGUAACGGCUUACCAAGGCAACGAUGCGUAGCCGACCUGAGAGGGUGAUCGGCCACAUUGGAACUGAGACACGGUCCAGACUCCUACGGGAGGCAGCAGUGGGGAAUAUUGCGCAAUGGGGGAAACCCUGACGCAGCAACGCCGCGUGGGUGAUGAAGGUCUUCGGAUUGUAAAGCCCUGUUUUCUGGGACGAUAAUGACGGUACCAGAGGAGGAAGCCACGGCUAACUACGUGCCAGCAGCCGCGGUAAUACGUAGGUGGCGAGCGUUGUCCGGAUUUACUGGGCGUAAAGGGUGCGUAGGCGGAUGUUUAAGUGGGAUGUGAAAUCCCCGGGCUUAACCUGGGGGCUGCAUUCCAAACUGGAUAUCUAGAGUGCAGGAGAGGAAAGCGGAAUUCCUAGUGUAGCGGUGAAAUGCGUAGAGAUUAGGAAGAACACCAGUGGCGAAGGCGGCUUUCUGGACUGUAACUGACGCUGA